AUAGACGUCACAGUUAUUAAAACACGGGCAAAAUUUGUUUGUCAGUUCAAAUGACAUAAGUAGAUUUCAAUUAGCUUACAUUUUAUGCCUCCAUCGUUUUUCGUACCCAACUGCAUUUAUUUGUAUGACUCUUUCGGAGAGGUGACGUCGAAGUGAUGAUUAGAAAUUAAUGCUAUGCUAACAGAAUUAUUUUUGAUAACAGAAGGCUCUAGAACAAUACUUAUGAAGAAAAAACUAAGUUAAUACAAUCCAAUCAUAGCUGACCUCAAGAGUGAGAAUGACAUGCGACUGACGAGUAAAACAAAUCGGUCUAGACAAUGUGAGGUGUGUCUGGAUUUCGUGAUGCAUUAGGUUAUGAGGUUAUAAAAUCAGAACUAAUAAAAGACUGGAGCUAAAUAAAGCGACAAUGGCGCAACUAGGCGAAUGCCGGUACAUCCGGGAACGCGGGCGGGUCAAGGUCACGGCCCGCGGAUCGAUGCAGCUACGCCGCCCGGGCUACGCCCCGCUACGCCGCACGUACCCCUCUACGCUGGCACGCCGCUACGCCCGAAUCCGCAAACUUUUUAAUUCCGCCUUAUGACGUCAGAACGUAUUGGAUCGGGAGUACGGGAGUACUUUUAUAAUUUAUUUUCUUUAAUAAAACCUACGCUAUUACCGCGAGCGUUCGAUUAAAUUGAUCGGGGACUGGAACUGAAGUGGAAACGUAUUAGAAAACCUUAUUUAUCUUUAAUAUUUGAACGGAAAUGAAAAUGUUCGACUGAAUUAUUUUUACAUUCUUUUAAAUAAACAAUUUUUUUUGCUA